rnacentral:misc_RNA from 1 species
UUUAGGUUAAGUAUGUUUAUUUAGACUACUUAUAUUAACAUAAUAUUAUUAUUUUUUGUUUUAAUUGACGUUUAUCAAAAAAGUUGAUUGGAAGAGUUUGUUAAGGAUUUCAAUGAUUCCACCCACAAGAUUAUAAAAAAAUCAAACAAAUUUUGUUGUCAACUUGAGAAAAGUGAUAGGCUAACCCACUGUAAAUAAAUAAAGUUUUGUAGCCGUAAAUAAUUAAUGUAUUUUCUAUUUACAGAAAUGAAAUUGUCACCUAAAGUUGGAAUAGGAUUAAAACGCCUUGGAAAUCAGAAUUUGAUUGCUUCUGAUUCUUUCAAGAAAUUAGUAGAGAUCUCGCCAGAUAUUGUUCUUAAAAAUCAUGGAUCACAUAAAACAGAUCUGAAAGAGCUGUGCACGUCGAAGUCGGACAUUGUGAAGGAAUGUUUCGCUGCACUACUCAUCCUGCUUGUCGAAGCUGCAAGUCACGACCUCGACGAUAAGAGCUUUCGUUCAGUGGUGGAGUCCUACAACUUCAAUCCAGACCGUCUGAAACUGCUCACUGAUGUCUAUGAAAAGCGAAAAAAGGAUCUGAGGAGUGUGCUUUUCAGACUACAACAUUCCAUUCCACAGAUAAUUGAUGUUAGCUGGAGAUUGGACUUCUGUAUAAAAAUUCCAUAUCAUGCUGACUGUUACUUUUCAAUAAAAUACUCACAUCAUCAGCGUAUAAAACACAGUGUGCUGGUUCAAGGUGUGGUGGCAAGUCAUUAAUAUAUAGAAGGAAAAGCAAAGGACCAAGGACUGAUCCAUGAGGGACCCCACUCCUCACCAUUCCGACUGAUACACAAAAGGUCAAGCACAUGCAGUGAUAACUUCCCCAUAUUCUUCAUACAACUGAUUGGAGAAGCUGCUACAGACAAUACAUCAGGUGGCAUAAUUAUAAAGAAAUACAAUUUCCUUUGUUCCCUGGAAGAAUUAGAAGAACUUGUUAGUGGGCUAAAAGAUGCCACCAGACAUAUAGAGUCUUUAGCUGGAAUUAAAUAGUAAUCCAAUUUCUUAAAUAAAUACCUAUAUAAUAAUAAUACCUAAUAAUACCUAAAUAAGUAAUUUCCUAUUUCAUUUUUUAUGAUAAUUAGCCUCAGUUGUAUUGUAAUUUGUAAAUAAAUUUUUCAUAGCUAAAUUGAAAUAUAGUU